ACCAUCCCAUAAUGCACAUCGAAAGCAUCAUACAUACAUCACUUGUGACAGGGUAAAACAUCAGAAAAGGGGAAGGUGCAAGGGGCAUUAGCAUACAGGUAAACAGGAGGUAAGCAGGAUUAGCAUAAGGUAACAAUGCACGAUGUCCCAGGACAUUGUUAAGCAAGUACCAGUAAGUAUCUGGGAGGG